rnacentral:rRNA from 1 species
UACAGAGGUCUCAAGCGUUGUCCGGAUUCAUUGGGCGUAAAGGGUGCGUAGGUGGCGCCGUAAGUCGGGUGUGAAAUUUCGGAGCUUAACUCCGAAACUGCAUUCGAUACUGCGGUGCUUGAGGACUGGAGAGGAGACUGGAAUUCAUGGUGUAGCAGUGAAAUGCGUAGAGAUCAUGAGGAAGACCAGUGGCGAAGGCGGGUCUCUGGACAGUUCCUGACACUGAGGCACGAAGGCCAGGGGAGCAAACGGG